CUCCCCUCUCCUCUUCUUCUCCCACCCGAUCUAUUUUCCUUCUUCUCUCAAUACAAGUAAAUCCGACGGCUCUUCUAUUCUCCGAUGGUGGUCCAGCAAUUUCUCCGGUGAAGUAAAUCCGGCGGGCUUUGGUACAAGGUGAUGUGCCGGGAGAUGCUUGAGGACAUCAUUUGAAGUAGACUCUUUGGAAGAUUAGAUAAAUAUCACACUUGCUUAGGCAUAUGUAUUUUUUUUUGUAUAUUUUGGGGGACUUGUACAUGAUCCAUAUGAUACACUUAG